UGGGCUCCUUAUGCGUGUGCCGCAACUAGGCCAAGGUACUGGUUUUAAUAAACCCCUCACGUUGAUUCUGGACUGAAUGACAACUAGUUCCACGCCAUUGUUGCGCUCCAAAUUAAGUAGAGACGGGACCAUGCUUUCGUCCAUGUCAAGCAGCACGUACACAUUUUCGUCUCUUCGCCCACUGGACGAAGAACUAAAGCUUGGAGCUAACAGCUGACGGCAUUCACAACCAACUUCUGUCUUCAACCAGUGGAUACCUAAGCAAGCCUGAUAUUGACUGGGGAGUUAUAUGUACACUCAAGCAGAAGAAACAGAAGCAUUCACAUCCAGUGCUGAUCUGAAGUCUGGUGUAGGCUGUGGAUGAUCGACAACCCUGGUUUUGCCUCGCUACCCUCGACCGCCUUGUAGAAGUUGUGGUACUUGUGCAGGUACGACCUCACCAAAUCAGAAAAGGACUGAUAGUGUUCAGUGAGAAACCUGACAGUUGUGAUUGGAUGAAAUUGUUUUCAGGUUGACCACAGAGCUUCAUGAGAAAGUGUGCUGUGCAGGGGUGACUGGAGUCCAGCAAGUUCAAACACUUACAAGUGAGCCGUGCCGCUUGCUGGGGCUGAGGAAGAGGAAUGAGAGUUCACAAAGACAAAAAAGUGGCUGCUGCUGAUGUUUACCACUUGUUCCUUGUUUGGGAAACUGACAAAAUGUACAACGAGGUAUUCCGUGAGCACACCGAGACACCAGUGUGUAAGGGAGGCCUUGUGAUGGACAUAGAUAACAAAGCAGUGGGGCCUAACAGGACAGAGAGAGUUAAAUGCACUGACUGUACCUACCUGUUGAAGUACCAGCAACUGUAAAAGGAGGUAACAGGGAAGUGAUGCGAGAAGGGGACGUCAAUCCUCCAUGCAAACACUGGACUCCAGAUUGGCCUCCGUCUCAUGUGCACGUGUGCUGAUAUUUCCCAGUCCUCUCAUUCAGGCAUGCAGAAAGCUGCAAACAGAGUUUGUGACAGGAUUAAAUCUGAGAAUUUGAAGGACAAGAAAGCCAGGAGGCUGGAGGUGACAGAAAUAAAUAGAUACAGGGGAGCAGACUUAAAUAAUGUAAGCUUAUCAACUCAUGGAGUGUGCAAUUAUCCAUUGGUUCAGGUGUUGGGGAAACCCUCUUUUCAGCAAGCCACACCAGUAACCCAUGUACAGUCAAGUACCGUUAAUCCAAAAUGAUACCCGUGAAGAUCCCGGGGUAGAAUAUUCGAUGUAACUAUCAUUAACCAGUGUUUUUUUGGGGGUGGGGGGGGCGGAUAGAAUAGGUCUUCAGCAACCCAUGCUU
rnacentral:lncRNA from 1 species